GAUGAACGCUGGCGGCGUGCCUAAUACAUGCAAGUCGAGCGAACGGACGAGAAGCUUGCUUCUCUGAUGUUAGCGGCGGACGGGUGAGUAACACGUGGAUAACCUACCUAUAAGACUGGGAUAACUUCGGGAAACCGUAGCUAAUACCGGAUAAUAUUUUGAACCGCAUGGUUCAAAAGUGAAGGACGGUCUUGCUGUCACUUAUAGAUGGAUCCGCGCUGCAUUAGCUAGUUGGUAAGGUAACGGCUUACCAAGGCAACGAUGCAUAGCCGACCUGAGAGGGUGAUCGGCCACACUGGAACUGAGACACGGUCCAGACUCCUACGGGAGGCAGCGGUAGGGAAUCUUCCGCAAUGGGCGAAAGCCUGACGGAGCAACGCCGCGUGAGUGAUGAAGGUCUUCGGAUCGUAAAACUCUGUUAUUAGGGAAGAACAUAUGUGUAAGUAACUGUGCACAUCUUGACGGUACCUAAUCAGAAAGCCACGGCUAACUACGUG
rnacentral:rRNA from 1 species